AGGAAAUGAGGCUGGCUAGGAGC
rnacentral:miRNA from 1 species